AAUAUUGGACAAUGGGGGCAACGCUGAUCUAGCCAUGCCGCGUGUGUGAAGAAGGUCUUCGGAUUGUAAAGCACUUUACGUUGGGAGGAAGGGCUUUAGGCUAAUACCCUGAAGUUUUGUCGUUACCAACAGAAUAAGCACCUGCUAACUCUGUUCCAGCAGCCGCAGUAAUACAGAGGGUGCAAGCGUUAAUCGGAAUUACUGGACGUAAAGCGCGCGUAGGUGGUUCAGUAAGAUGGGUAUGAAAUCCCCGGGCUUAACCUGGGAACUGCUUUCAUAACUGCUGAGCUAGAGUACGGUAGAGGGUAGUGGAAUUUCCUGUGUAGCGGUGAAAUGCGUAGAUAUAGGAAGGAACACCAGUGGCGAAGGCGACUACCUGGACUGAUACUGACACUGAGGUGCGAAAGCGUGGGGAGCAAACA
rnacentral:rRNA from 1 species